UGGGGAAUCUUUGACAAUGGGCGAAAGCCUGAUCCAGCCACGCCGCGUGUGUGAAGAAGGUCUUCGGAUUGUAAAGCACUUUAAGUUGUGAGCAAGCGCAUUAAGCUAAUACCUUGCUGUUUUGACGUUACCGACAGAAUAAGCACCGGCUACCUCUGUGCCAGCAGCCGCGGUAAUACAGAGGGCGCAAGCGUUUAUCGGAAUUACUGGGCGUAAAGCGCGCGUAGGUGGUUCGUUAAGUUGAAUGUGAAAGCCCCGGGCUCAACCUGGGAACUGCAUCGAAAACUAGCGAGCUAGAGUAGGGCAGAGGGUGGUGGAAGUGCCGGUGUAGCGGUGAAAUGCGUAGAUAUAGGAAGGAACACCAGUGGCGAAGGCGACCACCUGGGCUAAUACUGACACUGAGGUGCGAAAGCGUGGGGAGCAAACAGG
rnacentral:rRNA from 1 species